rnacentral:rRNA from 1 species
GACGAACGCUGGCGGCGUGCUUAACACAUGCAAGUCGAACGGAAAGGCCCUGCUUUUGUGGGGUGCUCGAGUGGCGAACGGGUGAGUAACACGUGAGUAACCUGCCCUUGACUUUGGGAUAACUUCAGGAAACUGGGGCUAAUACCGGAUAGGAGCUCCUGCUGCAUGGUGGGGGUUGGAAAGUUUCGGCGGUUGGGGAUGGACUCGCGGCUUAUCAGCUUGUUGGUGGGGUAGUUGCUUACCAAGCCUUUGACGGGUAGCCGGCCUGAGAGGGUGACCGGGGACAUUGGGACUGGGAUACGGCGCAGACUCCUACGGGAGGCAGCAGUGGGGAAUAUUGCACAAUGGGCGGAAGCCUGAUGCAGCAACGCCGCGUGCGGGAUGACGGCCUUCGGGUUGUAAACCGCUGUCGCCUGUGACGAAGCGUGAGUGACGGUAAUGGGUAAAGAAGCACCGGCUAACUACGUG